GACGAACGCUGGCGGCGUGCUUAACACAUGCAAGUCGAACGGAAAGGCCCUGCUUUUGUGGGGUGCUCGAGUGGCGAACGGGUGAGUAACACGUGAGUAACCUGCCCUUGACUUUGGGAUAACUUCAGGAAACUGGGGCUAAUACCGGAUAGGAGCUCCUGCUGCAUGGUGGGGGUUGGAAAGUUUCGGCGGUUGGGGAUGGACUCGCGGCUUAUCAGCUUGUUGGUGGGGUAGUGGCUUACCAAGGCUUUGACGGGUAGCCGGCCUGAGAGGGUGACCGGCCACAUUGGGACUGAGAUACGGCCCAGACUCCUACGGGAUGCAGCAGUGGGGAAUAUUGCAUGAUGGGCGGAAGCCUGAUGCAGCAACGCCGCGUGCAGGAUGACGGCCUUCGGGUUGUAAACCGCUUUCGCCUGUGACGAAGCGUGAGUGACGGUAAUGGGUAAAGAAGCACCGGCUAACUACGUG
rnacentral:rRNA from 1 species